rnacentral:rRNA from 1 species
AUACGGAGGAUCCGAGCGUUAUCCGGAUUUAUUGGGUUUAAAGGGUGCGCAGGCGGCCAUUUAAGUCAGCGGUUAAAUCGUGGGGCUCAACCCCAUUCUGCCGUUGAUACUGGGUGACUUGAUUGCGGUCGAGGUUGGCGGAAUUCGUUGUGUGGCGGUGAAAUGCAUAGAUAUGACGAAGAACACCGAUUGCGUAGGCAGCUGACCAGACCGCAAAUGACGCUCAUGCACGAAAGUGCGGGGAUCGAACAGGAUUAGAUACCCUGGUAGUCCGCACAGUAAACGAUGAAUACUUGUUUUCGGCGAUAUAAUGUCGGAGGCAAAGCGAAAGCGAUAAGUAUUCCACCUGGGGAGUACGCCGGCAACGGUGAAACUCAAAGGAAUUGACGGGG